AACACUGUUAACCUGCGGUACCUGCGGAAGGAUCAUUAUAGGAAAUUUUCAAAUACCCAAGUUGUGAGGGGGGGGGAGGAGGGAGGUUGGGAAGGUUUCUCCUUUCUUUCCGGCUUUUUUUCCCUCUCUUGCUUCUUCAAACAAACUAUCGCAACUAUAACAAAAGAGGGGAAUUGACUUGGUUAUAUUUAUAAGAAAAGAAAAAAGUGCUUGCCUGAUAUCUGAAUUGUGAGUGAGGGA
rnacentral:misc_RNA from 1 species